GGGGCUUUAGCUCAGUUUGGGAGAGCACUUGCCUUGCAAGCAAAAGGUCGCAGGUUCAAAUCCUGUAAGCUCCA
rnacentral:tRNA from 1 species